rnacentral:rRNA from 1 species
GUCGCAAGACCAAAGUGGGGGACCUUCGGGCCUCAUGCCAUCAGAUGUGCCCAGAUGGGAUUAGCUAGUAGGUGGGGUAACGGCUCACCUAGGCGACGAUCCCUAGCUGGUCUGAGAGGAUGACCAGCCACACUGGAACUGAGACACGGUCCAGACUCCUACGGGAGGCAGCAGUGGGGAAUAUUGCACAAUGGGCGCAAGCCUGAUGCAGCCAUGCCGCGUGUGUGAAGAAGGCCUUCGGGUUGUAAAGCACUUUCAGCGGGGAGGAAGGCGUUAAGGUUAAUAACCUUGGCGAUUGACGUUACCCGCAGAAGAAGCACCGGCUAACUCCGUGCCAGCAGCCGCGGUAAUACGGAGGGUGCAAGCGUUAAUCGGAAUUACUGGGCGUAAAGCGCACGCAGGCGGUCUGUCAAGUCGGAUGUGAAAUCCCCGGGCUCAACCUGGGA